UAUUUUUUUAACAAUACAUUGCAUCUAACAUAAAGCCAGGGCCUACUUAUAUCCUCUUGAAUUUAAUUCUACACCUUUUCUUCCCAUACUUCCCACAAAAUAAUGGAAUAUUUGCCUUAUGUUUUCCACAGUCAGUUCUGUGACAAUUGCCUGUUUACAUUAUUGUCAUUCCUGCAUUGGGAAACUCUAGCCUCCGAUCUGUAGCUAACAAUUCCCCUCUCUCAGAAAUAUUAUUCACCUUCUAAAUCUAUUUACUCUGUCCAGAUCAAGUAUAAAAGAUUGGCAAGGAUCAAAUAUAAUGGUGAUCAGCCAAACCCUGCUGGUACUUUUUAUCCCAUUAAGAACUCAUACUAAAUUCAAAUAACUAGCUUAGAUUGAAAUGGAGCACAUAUACAGUUAAUAAUGAUUUCAAAUUCAAAGCAAAAUGGCUCCUUUUGGUGCUACUGUAAUAAACUCAGGGUCUGACCUGGAAGAAUCCUUGAUUUCCCUGCUGAGCCAGCCAGCCAUGGUGCCAACUGUGACAACAGCUUUUGAUUAUGGACAGUCGCCCAUUACAAAAUGGAACAGAGCCAAGAAUACAUUUCAUGAAGUCACCAAACAGCUGCUAGUCCAUCACACCGCCUGGCUAUUAAACCUCAAGGUUGUAUCUGAACUCCUAAUGAAGAGGCAACAUGCUUUUGACUGGAUUGCUUUUUUUGGUAAAGAUGUUUAAUCUCAUGCAUCAAACUUUGAAAUCUUCAUCUAUAAUAAAUGGAACCAAUUAUAUAUCCACACAAGGGAGCUUGGAAUCUAUACCAAAGAAGAAACAAAAAUUAAAAACAAAAAGAGUGGUGUAACUGCUUAAGGUUUCUAUAACAGAACCCCUCCAAAGUGAUCCUUUUAAUACAUUUGACUAGAGAGUAUUUUUCUGUAGCACAGCAAUAAAAAUUAAAAUGUA